rnacentral:rRNA from 1 species
CCUACGGGUGGCAGCAGUGGGGGAUAUUGCACAAUGGGGGGAACCCUGAUGCAGCGACGCCGCGUGAGCGAUGAAGUAUUUCGGUAUGUAAAGCUCUAUCAGCAGGGAAGAAAAUGACGGUACCUGACUAAGAAGCCCCGGCUAACUACGAGCCAGCAGCCGCGGUCUUCCGUAGGGGGCAAGCGUGAUGGGGAUUUACUGGGUGUAAAGGGAGCGUAGACGGCAGUGCAAGUCUGAAGUGAAAGGCAAGGGCUCAACCUUUGGACUGCUUUGGAAACUGGGCUGCUGGAGUGUUGGAGAGGCAAGUGGAAUUCCUAGUGUAGAGGUGAAAUGCGUAGAUAUUAGGAGGAACACCAGUGGCGAAGGCGGCUUGCUGGACGAUGACUGACGUUGAGGCUCGAAAGCGUGGGGAGCAAACAGGAUUAGAUACCCGAGUAGUC